rfam:Triticum urartu cultivar G1812 contig493005, whole genome shotgun sequence.
CUCAUACUCCUUUUGUCUGGAAAUACUUUUCAUUAAAAUGAAUAAAAGAGGAUGUAUCUAAAUAUAUUUUAGUUCUAAAUACAUCGUUUUCUGUUCAUCUUGAUAACAAGUAUUUUCGGACGGAGGGAGUAGUAC